UACGGAGGGAGCUAGCGUUGUUCGGAAUUACUGGGCGUAAAGCGCGCGUAGGCGGCUUUGCAAGUUAGAGGUGAAAGCCCGGGGCUCAACCCCGGAAUUGCCUUUAAGACUGCAUCGCUUGAAUCCGGGAGAGGUGAGUGGAAUUCCGAGUGUAGAGGUGAAAUUCGUAGAUAUUCGGAAGAACACCAGUGGCGAAGGCGACUCACUGGACACGUAUUGACGCUGAGGUGCGAAAGCGUGGGGAGCAAACAGG
rnacentral:rRNA from 1 species